CAGUCGCCGCGGUAAUACGAAGGGUGCAAGCGUUACUCGGAAUUACUGGGCGUAAAGCGUGCGUAGGUGGUGGUUUAAGUCCGUUGUGAAAGCCCUGGGCUCAACCUGGGAAUUGCAGUGGAUACUGGGUCACUAGAGUGUGGUAGAGGAUAGUGGAAUUUCCGGUGUAGCAGUGAAAUGCGUAGAGAUCGGAAGGAACAUCUGUGGCGAAGGCGACUAUCUGGGCCAACACUGACACUGAGGCACGAAAGCGUGGGGAGCAAACAGGAUUAGAUACCCCAGUAGUCCCUGUCUCUUAUAC
rnacentral:rRNA from 1 species